CUAUUUCCUCAUUUGUGAAACCGCCUAAUGAAGAAUGUUCAUAUGGAAACCCAAUCAAUACUCAAUCAAUCAGCUGAAAUUCCUCAAUCUUCCUCUACACGCUUCUCAAUCAUCCUCUCCUUUUUGUUCUGCUUUUUUCUUCCCUUUUCUUUCAUCUGUUUCUUGUAUGUGCAAUCCAAUCCUUUUUUCACUUUCUCUGCAAUCAAAGUUGGGAAAGCUGGUGGAGCAAAACGGAUAGAAAGACCUGAUUCUGCAAGUCACACAUCUUUAGAUUUAAUUCGAGAAAUAAGUUUCUAAAUCAUGUAAAUUUUGAUUACAAUUUGUGUAAAAAGUACUGGAAAAGGAAGCAUACGUUGCUAAAGCUGAUAAAAGAAAGAAUAUGAAAAAAAAACUCUUGAUGCAUACUACAAAAAGAAGGAUGCUGGUGGGGAAGACAAUGACUGUGACAAAUAUACGUCUGAAGUCAAUGAUGAUGAUGAUAAGGAGGGUACUGAUGAAGAGCAAGCACAUGAACCAUGAUAAAUGAUUUGCUAAUUUUGAAAUUGCACAAACUGUCAAACUUUCAAUAGAUGGAAUGCUUUAAGGUUUACCAUGUACAAGGCACAUGGAAAGUCAUGUACCAGGUGAAUAAUUACACAAUAAGAAGGUACAUUCGUCACAUAUAACUUAAAGUUUUGUUAUUGAAAUCAAGGCAUAAUCUCAUUUUGAUACUGAAUUCGUUAUUAUCAUUUGUAUCUUGGUGUUUAUAUCAUGGAAUGUUCGUCUGUGGAAGCUAAUUGAAUGUAGUGUAAUAAACGAGAGAAGAUAGAGAGACAUAGACCAAUCACAAAAGAAGGAUGGAAAAAAGAACACAUGCUGAUAAAUUACAGGCAUAGUUGUUACUCUGUUUUAAAAGCAAGGAGCAUUCUGAAUAUGAACACACUAAGUGUAUGCCUCUUAGACUCAAGUUCAACUCUGCAUUGUUACAUAUUAUUGUCUAGAAGAGAUUGAAUUGACAAAGGCUGUGGAGAAAGAUUUUGCUAGGGGUUUACUGAUUAUUACAAAUGACGAUCUUGAGGAAGUACGAGAGUUAGGAUCUGGUAAAUAUGGAGCUUUAUAUCACAGGAAAUGGAAAGGUUCAGAUGUCGCGAUCAAAUGAAUUCAAGGCAGCUAUUUUGCUAGCAAACCAUUUGAGAGAGAGCGUUUUGUAUGACCACAUAAUGCACUUUUUCUGCAAGCCAUUAUGGGAUGUUAUCACAUAUACUCUGUCCAACAUACCUUUGCCUGCUCCUGGAAAAGAACGUGUUCUCUUUGGUAUUGAGAAUACCUUGCUUUCAGUUGACUUUCCGCCCAAGGAUGGCCUUCCGCGUGCUGAUAUAUCCUUCCAACCGCUGGUGCAGUGCCUGGAUGUUGAUAAUUUUAUGAAACUAUUUACUGUUGUCUUAAUUGAGAGGAGGGUUUUGCUUCGAUCAAACAAAUACUCUUUACUAACACUUGCUUCCGAAGCAAUAUGCCAUUAGAUUUAUCCGUUUCGAUGGCAGCAUGUGUACAUUCCGUUGCUAUUCUUCAGUGGAGUAGACUAUAUUGAUGCUCCCACACCAUAUAUGAUGGGACUUCAUUCAGGUUGUCAUUGUUGAUCUUGAAAAGAAUUGCAUCACGACAUCGGAGGAAAUUCCUGCUAUACCAGAGCCAAAAAUGAGUUCAUUACGUAAUGAGAUUCUUAAGUUAUUGCAUCCAAAUGUUGUUUGGAUAGACUCAAUGAAGGCUGAUCUUCAAUCUCAUAAACAAUAUGCAAAGCCUUGGUCACCACAGAAGGAUGUUCACCUCAGUUGGAGGCAGGAAUGGCAGCGGAAGCUGGUCACAUUAUAUCAACUACAGCUGGAGGCAGGAACGGGGAACGGAAAAAAGGUAUAUCGUUGAUCUUAAUGUUGCAAUUUGAUUUUGUACAUAAGUGAAAUCAUAUCUGUAAAUUAGGAUCUUGUGUUUCUUUGGUGAAGAUUGUAACGGUUGGAAUAAUUUUUAGUGUUGUAGAGGUGCGGACAGAUGGUUUAUUAUCAGGUUUUGUUUUGUUUUGUUUUGUUUUGUUUGUGAGUUAGUUUUGCAAAUUGUUCUUAAGGCAUGAAAUAUAGGUAUGCAGUGGCUUUUAA